AACCAAAACAAGGAUGGAGUAAUCAGAUACGAACAAGCAGUGAUGAUGAUUUCUGCCACUUAUCAACUAAACAAAUGAAAGAAGCAUUGUAAGAGUUCUUAAACGACAACCAAACUUGACUAGUAUAGAUGGCGCAGUCUGAAAAACAACACCCUUUAAGGAUUAUUGGGGAAAAUGAUAGUGACACAGAGGACCCUCCUAUGGAUCCACAGUCUCCGACACAGUCAACACGAGCUGAUCAGGAGGGUAGUAUAGACGACACUGCUUCUACGGAGCAACACGUUGAGACAACUUGUACAUCACAAACACAUGAACCAAAAGUAGAUAAAUAUAAGGACUCGCCAUUACACACAAAGGAGAAAAUAAGUGAAAGGCGGGAUAAGGAAAAGUUUGCAGCCGAACAGACCAGUGCAGAGCGAGGGCAAGAAGAAAUGGAACAAAUAAAUCAGCGCUCAGGAAAUACACUUAAAAAUGACAAAAAACAAGUUGUGUUUAUCGAGAAUGCCGAUCAGCCUGCAAUUGAGGAUCUGUUAAGGAAUUGUAGCAUGUGUAAAGAUGAACUUCUGAUAGGGGGAAACCUAGAAGACGCUUUUGGGGAAUAUGAACAUCUUCUUAAAAUUGCAAGAGAAACAGGCUGUACGAAGCAAAGAAAACAAAGGAAAAUGUCUUCUGGUGACUUUGAAUCCGUGAACGAUAGCAACAAAAAGCAGGCUCCGGCGCUGUUCGCCGUGAUGUCUGCUGUUUCCGACAGGGUUCCCGGCUACAGCAGAUGGAGGGACGCUCUAUCUGAAUUUCUCACACUCACCACAAGCUCUCAGUCCGACCCAGAGAAGAAGAGACAGCAGCCUUUUACUGGUUCUCAAAGCAAACGGCCUAGGAAGUCGUAUGGAAACAUCAUCGAGUGGUUAUUGGACCAGGAUAAUUGGGGGUCAGACCGAGCCCCGAGGCCAGAGGUGGUCAAGGAGUGUCGACAUCUGUUUACCUGUCAGAGUAAACUGAAAUCAGCAUUUCCAGAGGGGGCCGACAUAUUCGCUCUGGUUGACUCUACGUUCAAGGACGCAAACGAUGUCCCACAUAAAUUGAGGCACUCGGCUCUGUUUCAUUUUCUGCUUACUGUUGAUGAGCGGAAAUAUGGAAUAGAAUUAUCAGAGAUUUGGAGAGACUUUGGGAGACUUGUUUUGGCAGAAAAACUGCUAGAUCUAGCCCAAAAGGCCGAGACUGCGUAAAUUUGCCAGUCAACAGCUGACGGAAGGAAACCCCAACAUUGCGGACCUGAGUGACACCCACCGCCCCACAAGACUGGGGGAGAUGUACAGUCAGCUGUUUGAUGACGAGUGGUCAGAGGCAUUCGAGGCCUUCAAACCCAAAACAGAAGAUGAUGGUGACGAUGCCCUUCCCGACACGCUUUAUACGCUACAGAACAUACUGACGAAUAUCUUCGAAUUUUGUAAAGACCAAUUUAAGAGACAGAAGAUUUACAUUGAAGAUAGUUUCGCCGUCACUUUAGGGUUUGAAAAACCAAAGAGAGACGAUGCGGCUUCAGAGAAGGAUAAUAGAGUUAACAGCGAAGAAAUGCCUUUUCUGGAAAAGAAAGAACAAACGGUGUCCUUUGGAGACAGCAGCACUACGGAGAAGAGGAAUAAAGAGGAAGACGAGGAAGAACAUAACAGAGAGACCGAUGGAGGGAAUGGGUCCUCAGAACAACUUUUAACGCCACCUAUUGCGAAGGAAAAUCCAAACAAACUGGAAGCAGAUAAUGAGGAAGAGCAGAAAUAUGAUCAGAUAAUGACUACUCAAGAACAUGGGGACGAAAACGGCCAACAAAUUCUACCACUGGAUAAAGAUCUGAGCACUGACAACGAAAUCAAUGCUAAGAAAAACAAUCAGGAGCCAUCUUACCAAAAACCAAAACAAGAAACUUUAGAAGAUGGAAAUCGAUCCGAGAGGAAACAAGAAGAGAAAGUAGAACCUGGUGAUGUGAAGCCAGAGGACAGAGUGUACAGAAACAGUGUGGAGUACCCAAAUCUUGUCAGACACGCCAAGAACUUCAGUAAAGCAGUGGCCUCCACGACAGCCAAAAGCAAAUCAAAGCUGUUCAUAGACACUGAGCUCCCCGCCCUGAUAGAAGACGAGAUCAUCCGAGCAGACGUCCGCGUGGUGACGUACGUCAGGAAGUGUGUAGAGCUUUGUUGGUACAUGUGUAUGCAGGACCCACCAAUGGUGAUCAUCUCACCCAAACAAGGACAACUGGUGGACAAGGCCUUAUUCUCCUUCCAUGGACGCCGCGGGAAGAUCGUGGAGGUGUGUGUGUGGCCGGCGCUUCUUCUCCAUGACAACGGACCCCUGGUGUGUAAGGGAUACGUACUUCCGGAGGAGAGAAAUCGCAAUAGAUAAACAUACAGGAUUUACCCUUAUUACUGUUUAAACCAUUAAUUAGCAGACUUGUAUACUCAUUACGAUAUCAAU
rnacentral:misc_RNA from 1 species